rnacentral:rRNA from 1 species
CCUACGGGAGGCAGCAGUGGGGGAUAUUGCACAAUGGGGGGAACCCUGAUGCAGCGACGCCGCGUGGGUGAAGGAGUGCUUCGGCAUGUAAAGCCCUAUCGGCAGGGAAGAAGCAAGACGGUACCUGACUAAGAAGCCCCGGCUAACUACGUGCCAGCAGCCGCGGUAAUACGUAGGGGGCGAGCGUUAUCCGGAUUCACUGGGUGUAAAGGGAGCGUAGACGGCCAUGCAAGCCAGGGGUGAAAGCCCGGGGCCCAACCCCGGGACUGCCCUUGGAACUGUGCGGCUAGAGUGCGGGAGGGGCAGGCGGAAUUCCUGGUGUAGCGGUGAAAUGCGUAGAUAUCAGGAGGAACACCGGCGGCGAAGGCGGCCUGCUGGACUGCGACUGACGUUCAGGCUCGAAAGCGUGGGGAGCGAACAGGAUUAGAUACCCCGGUAGUC